CUACGGGUCGCUCCAGUGGGGAAUUUUGCGCAAUGGGGGAAACCCUGACGCAGCAAUACCGCGUGAGUGAAGAAGGCCUUUGGGUCGUAAAGCUCUUUUCUUGGGGAAGAUAGUGACGGUACCCAAGGAAUAAGCACCGGCUAACUCCGUGCCAGCAGCCGCGGUAAUACGGAGGGUGCAAGCGUUGUUCGGAUUUACUGGGCGUAAAGGGCACGUGGGCGGCACAGCAAGUUAAGGGUGAAAUCCCGGGGCUCAACUCCGGAACUGCUCUUAAAACUGCUGAGCUAGAGAUAGUCAGAGGCGGGUGGAAUUCCAGGUGUAGGGGUGAGAUUCGUAGAUAUCUGGAGGAACACCGGUGGCGAAGGCGGCCCGCUGGGGCUAUUCUGACGCUAAGGUGCGAAAGCGUGGGGAGCAAACGGGAUUAGAUACCCUAGUAGUC
rnacentral:rRNA from 1 species